GUAGCUUGUCUUUUACAUUUUCGGUAAAAAUGUUUAUUCGGGGUUUCAAAUGGAAGAUGUUUGGGUACUAGCCCUAUACUUAAAAGUAAUACAAAUCUAAAGAUUGUUUUUGUCUUUUCCUUAGUAAUCGCAGCAAUAGUUGGAACGCUCGGAGCUGGUAAGCCAUCUCUCGAAAUUGUUGCGUCUUAAAACAAAACAUGAAAAAUAAUUAGCUUGUAAAUCAAAUUAAAAUAGUUUUUAUCGCCUACGUGUUCAAAUCCUUAGCCAUAUAAUGAUCAUGUUGCUAAGUGUUGAUGUCUGCUGAUCUGUUACGAGGUGGAGCCGUGGUCGCUGCCCCUUUUGUUCUGGGGGCCGUUGGAUUCACCGCGGCCGGAAUCACGGUGGGCUCAUAUGCUGCAGGCAUGAUGUCUGCAGCUGCCGUAGCGAACGGAGGGGCGGUGGCAGCGGGCACUACAGUGGCCGUGUUGCAGGCAGCAGGUGCGGCUGGACUGGGGGCCGCAGCUACUGCUGCAACUGCUAGUGCAGGAGGAGCAGCGGCCGCUCUCCUGGCUCUCCUCUUCUAAAAUCAACCGGAACUUAAUAAAUAUGCUCUCCUCUUAUCCAACCGAUUUGUUGAUUCAUUAUUUGCAUUAGGCUACACAAUGGCAUUAAAAAUAUAUAUAUCCCCAUUUACCUUAGCAAUCCUUGCUAACAGUGGAAUAGGGCUAGUGUAUCGUUUCAAGCAUGUCAGUUGACUUUGUUAAACUAAAUUCUGGAGCGAAAUUUGUUUCUCGUUGAUUGUGCUUAUGCAAUGUAGCCAUCUAAAAAAUUCAAUAAAAACAUUACAGCAUA